GUCAGCAUGGUGUAGUGGUUUGAGUGUUGGACUAAAACUCUGGAGAUCUGGGUUCGAUUCCUGGCUCAGCCA